rnacentral:lncRNA from 1 species
GACGACUAUGACUAUGAAGCCUCUACUGAUAAACUGACGCACUGCUCAGGACAUGGAAUACUCCACGAACAAAAGUGGAGCUCGCCAAUAGCACUGGAAGGGAAGGAAGCCCUAACUCGUAGCAUGCUCGCCUGCAAAUCCGAUUCCUACGAUGUACGGAAGACCAACCUAGGUUCCCAAAAGAUAACGUCAGUACCAUCCAUUGUACUUAGUGAAUCUCAACAACGGGGGGAGAAACUUUAAUAACAUAUACAUUAUGAGCAAAGGUUCUAAAUGCAUAUAAUACAUAAAGCUUAUAAGAAUAAUUCUAAAAUAAUUGUAUAAUAGUAAUUUAUGAAUAUUCUAAAAAAAUUCUUUUCUUUUUCUUUCUUUAAAAAAAUACUUCACUGUAUUCUUUGGGAGUUUCAACUAUCCUGACUUAAUUUUGUCUCGGUUACCGUGUAAUCGGCACGGGUUCGACCCCAACCUGAUCGAAUAGGCCCAAUCCACACAGUGCCACUCGCUUCAUGGUUCUCAGCGUUCAUAUAUCAUACCUUAGCAUGACUAAGUAAUUUCUCAGCAACGAGACCAUCGGCUCAUGUGCUCCCUACUUUGGCAUAAGUAGUUUCAGGAAGUCAACGCCUUGGUCAGGACCCUCGGCCUGGACGAUGACCCCUUCUCAGAAUAAAGGAUACUCCAAAAAAUAUUUUCUUUCUAACACUUCUUCUUGUGACUUUUAAGUCUAAAUCUUGCAACCAUACUUAUUCUAAAAUUCUUAAAUGUAAGAUAUGACAUAAGACUGAAAUAAACAUUAAAAGCUAUUUUUAAAUAUUCUUGCUUUUUCAUGAAUUUUCAACAUGAAGAAAAUGGCAUAUAAGAAUCACAUAAAAAUCUGAAAAUUUAUGCACAUAUGUCAAAAUAAAUCAUCAAACUUUAACAAAAAAAAAAAUAAUAAUUCUAAGUUAAUAGGAACUCACUCACUUCAAUUAAAUACAUAUUCGCUCUUUUAGCCAAUUCAACAAACACCUUGUAUCCAUACUUUUAUGAGUUGAACCAUUUUGGUAAAGAGUUAUAUCAACUCACCUCAAAACUUCUCGAGCCAAUACGUAGGCAUGCAUACCUUUGUGAGUUAAACCACUUUGGUAAAGGGUUAUAUCAACUCACCUCAAAACUUCUCGAGCCAAUAAGUAGGUCCCAGUCCAAUUGACACCAGUCAAACAAUCGAUUCUACAAUAACCGGUGCAAUCUAAUCAAUUUUGAAGUACUACACCAAAAUAUGAAAUUCACUAUUGAUAUAGAGAAAAAAGUGAAUUAACUAUUCUAUUCUUAUGUACUACUACCGUUGGAUAAUUGACAAUUGAAAAUUUAUAUACCUGAGUUUAAGAAUUAGUGAUUUGUAAAGAACCCUAAAAAUUUUCGUUGGUUUCUUGAGUAUUUUCGCUGGGACAUGCCUAUGCCUUUAGACACAGAAGUCUGCUUGGAGUUUGUUUGUUUUUUUAUUUUGAGUAAGAAGUUUGCUUGGGUCUCUUUUUGU